rnacentral:rRNA from 1 species
CCUACGGGAGGCUGCAGUGAGGAAUAUUGGUCAAUGGGCGGGAGCCUGAACCAGCCAAGUCGCGUGAGGGAAGACGGUCCUAUGGAUUGUAAACCUCUUUAGGCGGGGAGCAAUGCCGGGCACGCGUGCCCGGAGGGAGAGUACCCGCAGAAUAAGCAUCGGCUAACUCCGUGCCAGCAGCCGCGGUAAUACGGAGGAUGCGAGCGUUAUCCGGAGUUAUUGGGGUUAAAGGGUGCGGGGGCGGAUUUUUAAGUCCGCGGUAAAAUGUCCGGGGCCCAACACGGCCGGGCCGUGAAAAUGGGGAUCUUGAGUGGGCGAGAAGUAUGCGGAAUGCGUGGUGUAGCGGUGAAAUGCAUAGAUAUCACGCAGAACUCCGAUUGCGAAGGCAGCAUACCGGCGCCCGACUGACGCUGAGGCACGAAAGCGUGGGGAUCGAACAGGAUUAGAUACCCGUGUAGUC